CCUAACACAUGCAAGUCGAGCGGUAGAGAGAAGCUUGCUUCUCUUGAGAGCGGCGGACGGGUGAGUAAUACCUAGGAAUCUGCCUGAUAGUGGGGGAUAACGUUCGGAAACGGACGCUAAUACCGCAUACGUCCUACGGGAGAAAGCAGGGGACCUUCGGGCCUUGCGCUAUCAGAUGAGCCUAGGUCGGAUUAGCUAGUUGGUGAGGUAAUGGCUCACCAAGGCUACGAUCCGUAACUGGUCUGAGAGGAUGAUCAGUCACACUGGAACUGAGACACGGUCCAGACUCCUACGGGAGGCAGCAGUGGGGAAUAUUGGACAAUGGGCGAAAGCCUGAUCCAGCCAUGCCGCGUGUGUGAAGAAGGUCUUCGGAUUGUAAAGCACUUUAAGUUGGGAGGAAGGGCAGUUACCUAAUACGUGAUUGUCUUGACGUUACCGACAGAAUAAGCACCGGCUAACUCUGUGCCAGCAGCCGCGGUAAUACAGAGGGUGCAAGCGUUAAUCGGAAUUACUGGGCGUAAAGCGCGCGUAGGUGGUUUGUUAAGUUGAAUGUGAAAUCCCCGGGCUCAACCUGGGAACUGCAUCCAAAACUGGCAAGCUAGAGUAUGGUAGAGGGUAGUGGAAUUUCCUGUGUAGCGGUGAAAUGCGUAGAUAUAG
rnacentral:rRNA from 1 species